CAGGUACAUUGAACUAUCAUUACUACCAUCGGAUGCAAAUGAAAUAGGAUUGUAUGGCAUAGCUGUGUUGUUUUGCAUAGGAAGUGAUGUCAUGUUCCUCAGCUUACAUGUGACCACUUACUUUUACCAUAAAUAUCCUGUGUGACCCACACUAAACAUCCCCUUGAUGAAGUCCUCACUUUAGGAUGAAAAGCGUUGGGUGAGGGACUUGAUGCUCACCCAUGGACUUCCCAUAGCAGACAGAUAAGCUGUUUUUAUAUUUUAAUCUUGUACAUUUGACACCUGUAUUUGCGACUGGAUUGUGUAUAUUAAAACUGUAUUUUUUUACUCAA